rnacentral:rRNA from 1 species
GCCGUCCUACGGGAGGCAGCAGUCGGGAAUAUUGUGCAAUGGAGGAAACUCUGACGCAGUGACGCCGCGUAUAGGACGAAGGUCUUCGGAUUGUAAACUAUUGUCGUUAGGGAAGAGAAAGGACAGUACCUAAGGAGGAAGCUCCGGCUAACUACGUGCCAGCAGCCGCGGUAAUACGUAGGGAGCGAGCGUUGUCCGGAUUUACUGGGUGUAAAGGGUGCGUAGGCGGCUUGGCAAGUCAGUAGUGAAAUCCAUGGGCUUAACCCAUGAACUGCUAUUGAAACUGUCGAGCUUGAGUGAAGUAG